GACGAUGGGGCACUCUUUGCUCUGCAUGAUGGGCUUUUUCUUGCUCAGUACUGUCAUCUGUGGAAAUGAUGAGGAUCACACUACUCAUUCACAAGAUGCUGAUGAAUCAGAAUAUCAGUCCAAAGAGCAAACAACCUCAGGUACAGCUGAUUGUAGCAGGAGUGUAUGUAGUGCAGACUAUGUCACUUAUAUUAAUUAGCAUGUGUGCUGACUACCUUAGUGUUCUUUUUUUUUAAUUAACGCUUGGAGUUAAUUAACGCUUGGAGUUCCCAAAAUCCUCAUCAAAAGCUACACAUAUGCUAAUGACAAAGUACCAUUGAUACAGAUUUAUUUAUUUAUGACUGUCAUGG